UUGCUUGGAUGAAGCAGUCUGCUAUUACUGUCAUUUACUCUAAGCACCAAACACUAUGGGAUUUUGGUUUUGUUUACAGCUACUGAAGAUAACCUUGUGCUUUUGCCAUUUAAAGUGCAGAAAAAGGAGUAAUGAUUACUUCUUUUGCUGAAGAAGAUAUUUGUAAAAUUCAAAUGGAUGAUGUGGGACCAAAACACUUUCCUGUCAAUAUCAACGAGACUAGAACAAGAUUCAAAGUCUAGUCUUGUCAAUAUUGACAGGAGAUAAAGAUAAUUAAUGUGUGGGUUUCUGCAUUUUGAGCUCCAUCAACAGCCCUGUCAUUUGAUUGGGUUGGGUUGAGGCGCAGAUUCAGACAUUAGGACCCAACCGCACAUCUGGGGAAAUUCCUAUUUUUCUUGAUUAGAAAAUCCACUUGGAUUGUUAGACGGACCUAUUGCAAAACGAAAGUUCUAUCUUUCGCUGGAUCCAACUAAAUUCAGAUUUUAAGAUUCAAUACUUCAUGUUUGUGAUGGAUGGCCAUAAUCAAUGCUAUAUUAACCUUAUUUCUUUCUUGUGUUUAUGAUGUAAAAGGCUGAUAUUUUAUUUGUUUUUUUAAGAUUGCAUAAAUCUGUCCCUUUCAAAUACCAUGCUCAUUUAAGGUUGGAUUAGACCGUCCUACAUCAAUUUUUGGUAAUUCGGGUUGGCUUGGGAUUAAUCACAUGUAUUUUGUUUAAGGUUUCAUUAGCUUGAAAAUCUUUAACAUGCUCUCCAGUUUCUUUGUAAGGCAAUGAUGCUUUCAUAAUGAUUGUUCUUGCUAAAACUUCAGUUUCUUUUUUCUUCUUCUUUAUUAUUAUUAAUAAAUUAUUAAUGUUUUCGAUAUCUUACAUAGAAGUCCAAGCAAAAGAAAUGGUUGGCAUAUGACAUGCUUCCUCGGUACUUGCUUUUAUGGCCUUUAUGUGGCCUUUCAAUCUCACAUGCUAUUUGAGCAUAGAUCUUCUAGUGAAGGAAGCUUACAAAGUCUCCUCCACAGCCCCAAAAUCUUUACUUCACGUAGAUUGGCAAAAAUUUUAAGAUCGACUGUCCACCAGACAUCAACCUUCCUUUCACCCUGAUUUUACGAGGCUUGUCAUGGCAGAGGUUUGUAUUGAAAAUACUCGCAUGACAACAUUAUCCCAUUCCCAUCUAAUGCUAAUAUUGUCUCAAAUUAACAGAGAAAGGGAGAGAGGCUAAAAACAUGAUAUUUUCUUUCUUUAAGGAUUAGAUGGCUGAUACAAGUUUGUCUUCUCAAAAAUACUCAAUAAAUAGUUUGCCUUUCCAAAAUAAUCAAAAGAUAGACACAAUUAAUUUUUUUUAGUAGUUGUAUGGAUUGUGAUGAUCUAAUAUGCUGAUUCAAUUUGAUAUAAACCGAGUCUAUAACAUAAACUGACACAAUAAUGGUAACUGAUGUAUAUUCUAUUUGGGGUAAGCUGAUUUUGUUUUCAGUUUUAUGGUCAGUAUGCUCGUUUGUAGAUCAAUCAAUACAGGCAUUUCUGGUUAUGAAACUUUUAUUCGUCCUGUAGAUAUUCAUACUUCAAUUGAAACUUUUAAGAUUAACCUGCGUAGCUGAUCUUUAUGCAACUUUGAUAUGGAUGUCCUGCCCUGGCGAGUAGUUUAUUUUGUCCAUAAUGCACAGUGACAGUGAAGAUGUUCUCUGGCAAGCAUGACACAAAAAGAGCUUAAUAUGUUUACCGGUGAGUGCAUGAUUUUGUUUUCAGAUCUUAUCUAAUAAGUUAUUUUGAUUUUUACAACCAAUGUGGCUUGGCUAUUUCCAGCACAAUGAAAUUGGCCUUUCAGUAAUAUUCUACAGAUACAAUGGUCACUUGCCAGAUGGAUUCAACAGUGCACUCCUGUUGUGAAGGAUCCAUAAAAGGCAACCUCUAGGGCUGAAAAGAAAGUCCAUAUGCCUACCUCUUGCUAACUCUGAAACCUUAACAAAAAGGAUCCAUGAAUGUAACCAUGAUUGUCAACAUGACUCCGGAUACAUUUGGUCACCACAAUGAGAAGGAAGGUUAACUGCAAUCUGGCAUUGUUUUCUUAAAUAUAAAAAUCUCUCCCUGUUGAUCUAUUAAGGUUUUGAUUGGAAACUGGUAUAUCUUUCGAAAAUUUGGCUCUUUCCUCUCCUUUGAAACUAUUCAAUACAUUGUCAAGGCCUAAUUUCAUUGGAAUUCCUCUUCAUUUUUAUUUUUUCUGGUCUAAUCACUCCUAUCUAAUGCAUCAUUAGUUUCUAUUUACUAUCAUCUAAGGCUAUUCAAGCAAUUGAACUGUAAAUCUGAGUUGUGCAACUAAUUACACACCAAUAAUUGUUCAUUCUCUUCCAACUACAUUUCUUUAUGGGUCCAUCCCUAUUAGAUCAUGUGGGUUUGUAUCUUUUUCUCUACAUUACUAACAUCUCUGUGUACAUGUGUUGGCAUUGGAUUUACUUAUAGGUCCAUCCCUACCAGAUCAUGUGGCUUUGCAUCUUUUUCUCUAAAUUACUAACAUCUCUUUGUAGAGAUGUUGGCAUUCAAUUUACUUAAGCUCUAAUAUCCUUCUAAUUUUAUUUUAUUUUUAAAAAAUAUUCAAUCACUUUUUUUAAUUUAUUUAUUUUUGGCAGGGCUAUACUGAUAUCGGUUACUGCUUUAAUUAUUGACAUUGUUAUUUUCUACAUCCAUUGAUGUGGUUUUAAUGGAUCUCUUGUUUGCAUGGUCAUUUUGUGUGAAUAACAUGUAGUCCUCUCUUGAUAGCUAGAUAUUAGGUUACACAUGCAAUAUAAUACAUUGUUGUUUAAUUAAUUACACACCAAUAAUUGUUCAUUCUCUUCCAACUACAUUUCUUUAUAGGUCCAUCCCUAUCAGAUCAUGUGGGUUUGUAUCUUUUUCUCUACAUUACUAACAUCUCUCUGUACAUGUGUUGGCAUUGGAUUUACUUAUAGGUCCAUCCCUAUCAGAUCAUGGCUUUGGUUUCUUUUUCUCUACAUUACUAACAUCUCUUUGUAGAGGUGUUGGCAUUCGAUUUACUUAAGCUCUAAUAUCCUUCUAAUUUUUUUUUUUUUUAAAAAUAUUCAAUCACUUUUUUUAAUUUAUUUAUUUUUGGCAGGGCUAUACUGAUAUCGGUUACUGCUUUAAUUAUUGACAUUGUUAUUUUCUACAUCCAUUGAUGUGGUUUUAAUGGAUCUCUUGUUUGCAUGGUCAUUUUGUGUGAAUAACAUGUAGUCCUCUCUUGAUAGCUAGAUAUUAGGUUACACAUGCAAUAUAAUACAUUGCAUCUGACAUUAUGACUCUUGUGUGACCAACGUGGGUUGCGGGUCACGUUGAUUUUUGUCCUGUGGCUUAAAGUUGAAGUGCACACCUAAUGAACACAGUGGGUUGCAGCCACACGAAAUGGUGGACCAAAUGGAGCUCGAUGCUCUACUUGCCAACCACAGGUGGAGGACUUUGGAAAAAAUUACCACGUGGAACAAGGUACAAUUUGUGGUAGGAAAUCAACCAAGACCCAACCUAAACAAGUUGGGCUUUGUCUUGUAAUAUAGAUCCACUGACAGGCCUAGGUCUAGAUCGGGCCAAUCUGAGGGUCAAUUGGCCCAACCUUCUUUUAGCAAUUACAUGCAUAUAAAAGAUCUAAGCUAAUCCAAGCUACUCAUUUGACAAAUUUCAUUUCAA